GGGGCACGUGGCCGCAGACAGUGCCCGUGCCGGGGCGGGGAGGCGAGUUCUCCCUGCGGCCGCGGACCCUGGAUGGUGGCGUCGCCCGAAGACGCGCCUCACCGGCCUGGGUGGGUCGAGGCCCGCGUCACUGCCCUGUGGGUGCAGACGCCUCCAGUGUCACUCCCCUGGAUUUCGCUUGGGCAGAAGAAGAGAUUGUAGGCCGGACCCCAACGCCGAAGCCCUGAGGCUUCUAAUGUGAGGAAAAACACGGAAUGACAAGUGUGGGAAAGAGCAAGCACUAAAUUACUGUCAGAAAAAUAAACGGAGUAGCACAGUGCUGCUCGGUGAUUUACGGGGGCAAUUAGUCACCACCCCACGGCGCUGCUGAGGACAGCACGGCAGCAGACAAGUCAGGCCCAUGAGGAAGAAGAGGCUUUGCACUGCUCUCCAGACAACUUUUCAAACAACAAGAGAGGAUAUUUGAGCACAU
rnacentral:lncRNA from 1 species